rnacentral:misc_RNA from 1 species
AAAUCCGAACAGGGAAAAUAUUCUCGGAAAUAUCCAUUCAGUCCCCAGGUCUCGGCUGGGGAACAUCAAAAUUUUGAGGUGAUUUUUUUUAGUAAGCUAAAGUUAUAUCAAGCAAACAAAAUAAAACAAAAAAACUUUCCGCACUCUUACUGCAGGAUAUAGCCGUAAAUCCAUAUCCACAUCCACAGGAAAGGUAGCUGCUGCUGGAGCUUUGCUGGUUACACACAAUUGUUAAACAUUCAUUUCAAAUCCCUCUGGAACUGGAACUGGAAUCGGGUUAUUGCAUCCUGGCUAAUAGCACUCAAUAAAUACACUAAAUAGAAGCAGCCAUUAUCUGGAAAAAAAGGCUCUGCUCUUGAUGGUACUGACAUUCGUCGCUUUGGAGGUGGGCUCGAAUGUUCGUAGUCGGGUUAUUGCAUCCUGGCUAAUAGCACUCAAUAAAUACACUAAAUAGAAGCAGCCAUUAUCUGGAAAAAAAGGCUCUGCUCUUGAUGGUACUGACAUUCGUCGCUUUGGAGGUGGGCUCGAAUGUUCGUAAUCGGGUUAUUGCAUCCUGGCUAAUAGCACUCAAUAAAUACACUAAAUAGAAGCAGCCAUUAUCUGGAAAAAAAGGCUCUGCUCUUGAUGGUACUGACAUUCGCCGCUUUGGAGGUGGGCUCGAAUGUUCGUGGAUCGCAUCAAUACGAUUAUUAAUGGAAUUUAAAGGCUUUUAUGGUUAAUAGUUAAAA